rnacentral:misc_RNA from 1 species
ACUGCUUGGUUUUCUCAGCCAACGAUUGUGCAGUAUAUGAUUGGACUAUCCAAACAAGCAACAUCACCUGCCGAUGUAGUGAGCAAGUUGGUGAUAGAUUUUUCCUUGCCAUCUUCCGGUGAAACACUGGCUUUUGCUGAAGGAAUUUUCUCUAGAGUGCCACGCAAGCAAUCAUCCGGUUUAAAUCAUUAUCAAAAGCAAGAGAGAGAAGCUGCAAUUUUGGCAAGAAAGCAAAAGACAUAUGCACUGCUUGAUGCUGAUGACGACGAUGUUGUUGAAGAUAAAGGACGCAGCAGUGAUCACAGAGAAACAGAAAAUCGCAAGAAACAUUUUAGAAAGAAAAAUGAAUAUCAAGAAGAUGAAGAUGAUGAGAAGGAAAGUGCUCUUGAAAGAGAAAAUAGACAGGUUAAACGACAGGCAUCCAGUUCUGAAGACGAUAGCUCUGAGUCAGAGGAGGAGCGAUUGCGAGAUCAAAGAGAG